GUUAAAAUUCAAUUUUAAUAUAAACUUAUACAAGUGAUUGAAUUGCUCUAUACAUAAAAAGAAUAAUGAAUGUGCAGUACUGGGUUAUAUUAAGAUAAGGUAAUUGAGGUUUGUCGACAAAGAGAUUAUUUGCAAGUGGACUGUUAUGAAAGCUUUUAGAAGUUUGUUUGUUCUUCUUUACGAAGGCAUAAUAUUCAAUGGCCAAGAAUCAAAUUAGAUGGAAACUGAUUUUGCAUGCGUCUUAGGUUCUAUUUCACAUUAUUCUGGUAGCCAAACUUAAGAAAAAAGUAUUGUUUGAGUCCAUUAAUUAUUAGUAAGAUGUAAUGAUUUCAUUUAUCUUCGACUACUUAUGUAUUUUUAGUAUAUAAUUAUUUUUUAUUUAAUUACUGUUAUUUUUAUCCACCAGUAGAAGGGUUUGUGCAGUUUUUGAUGUGUUAUGUAUGUGGGUAUGAAAUUAGCUUUCUUGUGAUCAGUGCGGUUUAUUUCAAUGAUAUUAGAAGACAGUGACACAUCUAAAGUCUAAAUUCUGAACUGAUAAAUGGUAACCUUAGUCAUAUA
rnacentral:misc_RNA from 1 species